AUACUCAGUGGCGUAGCAAAGUACCCGUGGGCCCGGGUUCAAGAAUAUGUUGAUGGGCCCUCCCCAUAUGACGAAUAUUUUGUGUGACAAAGAAAUCCAGUAGUUUGUAUGUAUCGGUACAUUUACUAAAAGUAAAAACUAUUCCAUGAGACAUAAUCAUUUAAAACCACGUUUAUGUACUGUUCUGCACUGUGAACAUAAUGCGUAAGCGGCUGCUAUUGUUGAAACACUACCUGAAGGCUAUUGUACUGUCCGCUUAUAUUGAAAAACCAUAAUUGUUUACAAAACAUUUUUAGAAAAAAAUGCAAAUUUGAUACAUUUUUAAUUCUCUUUGAGUGCUGUCAACCAUGAUAGAGAAAAUGGCACAGAUUGGAUCUCCUUUAGUAUUUCUGCUAAGAUUCCAUCGCACAACAGGUCUAAUAUUUUGAAUCUGUUUGUCGAGAAAGCCAAGCUACUCAGACUAGUCACUCAGACUAGCUUUCUACAAUGGCAAACUGUUUACAAAGAUUUCUUUGAGAGGUAAAUUCCAAGAGCAGACGAUGUAGUCAAGAGCAGACGAUGUAUUCAAGGUCAACGAAUAUGUAGUAAAGAAACCAGACUACUUUGCUUUUCCACAGGCAGUGUCUGGGUUUCCUAAUGAUUAACUGGACUCUGAGACUUUUUAAAAUUGUUAUUUAUUAAAAAAUACAAUGUUAA